rnacentral:sRNA from 1 species
CCAACAGAGUAAUAUCAUGUCUGACCGGAACCAUACAAC